rnacentral:rRNA from 1 species
UCCUGGUGGCGAGUGGCGAACGGGUGAGUAAUAUAUCGGAACGUCGCCCAGUCGGUGGGGAUAACGUAGACGAAAGUUACGCUAAUACCGCAUACGAUCUACGGAUGAAAGCGGGGGACUCGCAAGACCUCGCGCGAUUGGAGCGGCCGAUAUCAGAUUAGGUAGUUGGUGAGGUAAAGGCUCACCAAGCCGACGAUCUGUAGCUGGUCUGAGAGGACGACCAGCCACACUGGGACUGAGACACGGCCCAGACUCCUACGGGAGGCAGCAGUGGGGAAUUUUGGACAAUGGGCGCAAGCCUGAUCCAGCAAUGCCGCGUGCAGGAUGAAGGCCUUCGGGUUGUAAACUGCUUUUGUACGGAACGAAACGGUGAGCUCUAAUACAGUUUGCUAAUGACGGUACCGUAAGAAUAAGCACCGGCUAACUACGUG